rnacentral:lncRNA from 12 species
CCCCCCCCCCCCCCCCCCCCCCCCCCCCCCCCCCCCCCCCCCCCCCCCCCCCCCCCCCCCCCCCCCCCCCCCCCCCCCCCCCCCCCCCUGCCGCUGCGCGGGGAGCGGGCGCGCCGAGGAAGGGGCAGGGGGUCCUUGGUGAGAUUUUUCGUUGUGAUUAAAAUCCUACCGCCCCGCAGGGCUUGGAUCGGCGACGAGGGGAGGCCACCGGAGCCGGGCGCGUACGCCGGGCAGGAUAGAAGAGGGCUUCUACAGGCAGCGGAGCCAGGUCCAGGCAGAGGAUGCAGCAUGCUCACCCAGCAACAGGCUGUCUCCAUCUCCCACCGCUGUGUCCCAUCUGUGCCCGGGCAGUGCCUAGACCAUCCUCUUCGUUCAGGUCUGCCACUUGACACCUGCCUGCAUCUCUCCAAAUCCUCAGAACCAGCUGGCUUGGUUUGGCCAAGAAUCACCCAACUAAUGUCCAUUUUCUUGAGAGUUCUUGCAGGGAUACAUGGCUUGCAAAUAUAUCCCGAAACAAAGCCUCAGUGAAAAAUAAAUGUAUUUUUUUAAGGUCAGAACCAGAUUCUAUCAUCCCACAUGUAUGUUUUCAAGGUGGGAGGUUGAGGGAUACCAGUAGCCGUGUGAAACAUUCAGUGUUCAGCACUUUGAGGGAUAGGAGCAGCAAAUGCAAGGGUGCUGCCCAUUGCAGCAGGGGGAACUCAGUAGGCUUGGACACCAAAGGGGAGAUUGCCCUUGAUUUCAGCACCUGAUGGGUCUCUGAAACUGAGGCUGACAUGAAUUUGGUAAGAGCCACCCUGCAGGAGCAGGUAAAGCUCAUCGUUCAUCUAAGGCAACGCAGGAUAGGAAAUGCCAGUGCCAAGGACCCCCUCCUGCCUGCUUUUAUUUGGCAUCUCUUGUGCACAAAGGGUAUCCAGGCUUCACAAAGCUACCCUGCUGCACAACACAGCCCCAUGGCUGUGGACGUGCGGAGGGUAGCAAAACACCUCUUCCUCUAGAGUUGGCUGUGGACGUGCGGAGGGUAGCAAAACACGUCUUCCUCUGGAGCUGUCAUAAAUCACAGUUACUGACGGAGCAAUGAGAGGGUCCCCGUGCAGCAGGAGGAGGACACUGCUGCAGGCACACGUACACCGCCCUGUUGGUGGAGCACACCCCACUGCCUUUCUGGGAGUACCUUUGCUCCGUGUCUCAGAAGCCGUUGCUGUGUGUUUGUGAGGUUGAGAGGCUGAGCUGAAUUCGUCCUCCAGCAGAGGCUCAGCACGAGGCUUGCUCACCGCUCGCAUCCACAGGCCUGCGUACCACUUGCAUCCCAUAGCGCUUAAGUGGAGCCUAAGUGGACCCCGGGCCUUGUGCUGGCGACCUGCCCAGUGCUGGAUUUCAGCUCCGAGCCCAGGCCUGCUGCUCUGAUUCAUGCACGUAAUCCCGCUGAGGUCAGCGGGUUUCAUCCUGCUCCCACCACGGCCCGCGGGACAGUUCACACGAGAGUGGCAGGGUCAGGCUCUGUGUUUGCA